AACGAACGCUGGCGGCAUGCCUAACACAUGCAAGUCGAACGAGACCUUCGGGUCUAGUGGCGCACGGGUGCGUAACGCGUGGGAAUCUGCCCUUGGGUACGGAAUAACAGCGAGAAAUUGCUGCUAAUACCGUAUAAUGACGUAAGUCCAAAGAUUUAUCGCCCAGGGAUGAGCCCGCGUAGGGUUAGCUUGUUGGUGAGGUAAAAGCUCACCAAGGCGACGAUCCUUAGCUGGCUGAGAGGAUGAUCAGCCACACUGGGACUGAGACACGGCCCAGACUCCUACGGGAGGCAGCAGUGGGGAAUAUUGGACAAUGGGCGAAAGCCUGAUCCAGCAAUGCCGCGUGAGUGAUGAAGGCCGUUAGGGUUGUAAAGCUCUUUUGCCCGGGAUGAUAAUGACAGUACCGGGAGAAGAAGCCCCGGCCUAACUUCGUGCCAGCAGCCGCGGUAAC
rnacentral:rRNA from 1 species